rnacentral:rRNA from 1 species
UCAUUAAAUCAGUUAUCGUUUAUUUGAUAGUACCUUACUACUUGGAUAACCGUGGUAAUUCUAGAGCUAAUACAUGCUAAAAACCUCGACUUCGGAAGGGGUGUAUUUAUUAGAUAAAAAACCAAUGCCCUUCGGGGCUCACUGGUGAUUCAUAAUAACUUAACGAAUCGCAUGGCCUUGUGCCGGCGAUGGUUCAUUCAAAUUUCUGCCCUAUCAACUUUCGAUUGUUGGGUCUUGGCCAACAAUGGUUUCAACGGGUAACGGGGAAUUAGGGUUCUAUUCCGGAGAGGGAGCCUGAGAAACGGCUACCACAUCCAAGGAAGGCAGCAGGCGCGCAAAUUACCCAAUCCUGAUACAGGGAGGUAGUGACAAUAAAUACUGAUACAGGGCUCUUUUGGGUCUUGUAAUUGGAAUGAGUACAAUUUAAAUCCCUUAACGAGGAACAAUUGGAGGGCAAGUCUGGUGCCAGCAGCCGCGGUAAUUCCAGCUCCAAUAGCGUAUAUUAAAGUUGUUGCAGUUAAAAAGCUCGUAGUUGAACCUUGGGCCUGGCUGGCCGGUCCGCCUCACCGCGUGCACUGGUCCGGCCGGGCCUUUCCUUCUGGGGAGCCGCAUGCCCUUCACUGGGUGUGUCGGGGAACCAGGACUUUUACUUUGAAAAAAUUAGAGUGUUCAAAGCAGGCCUAUGCUCGAAUACAUUAGCAUGGAAUAAUAGAAUAGGACGUGUGGUUCUAUUUUGUUGGUUUCUAGGACCGCCGUAAUGAUUAAUAGGGACAGUUGGGGGCAUCAGUAUUUAAUUGUCAGAGGUGAAAUUCUUGGAUUUAUUAAAGACUAACUACUGCGAAAGCAUUUGCCAAAGAUGUUUUCAUUAAUCAGUGAACGAAAGUUAGGGGAUCGAAGACGAUCAGAUACCGUCGUAGUCUUAACCAUAAACUAUGCCGACUAGGGAUCGGGCGAUGUUAUCUUUUUGACUCGCUCGGCACCUUACGAGAAAUCAAAGUCUUUGG